rnacentral:rRNA from 1 species
AGCGAACGCUGGCGGCAGGCUUAACACAUGCAAGUCGAGCGGGCAUCCUUGUGGUGUCAGCGGCAGACGGGUGAGUAACGCGUGGGAACGUGCCCUUCGGUUCGGAAUAACUCAGGGAAACUUGAGCUAAUACCGGAUACGUGCGAGAGCAGAAAGGUUUAUCUGCCGAAGGAUCGGCCCGCGUCUGAUUAGCUAGUUGGUGAGGUUAUGGCUCACCAAGGCGACGAUCAGUAGCUGGUCUGAGAGGAUGAUCAGCCACACUGGGACUGAGACACGGCCCAGACUCCUACGGGAGGCAGCAGUGGGGAAUAUUGGACAAUAGGGGCAACCCUGAUCCAGCCAUGCCGCGUGAGUGAUGACGGCCUUAGGGUUGUAAAGCUCUUUUCUCCGGGACGAUAAUGACGGUACCGGAGGAAUAAGCCCCGGCUAACUUCGUG